rnacentral:rRNA from 1 species
UACGGAGGGGGCUAGCGUUAUCCGGAAUUAUUGGGCGUAAAGAGCUCGUAGGCGGUUUGUCGCGUCUGCCGUGAAAGUCCGGGGCUCAACUCCGGAUCUGCGGUGGGUACGGGCAGACUAGAGUGAUGUAGGGGAGACUGGAAUUCCUGGUGUAGCGGUGAAAUGCGCAGAUAUCAGGAGGAACACCGAUGGCGAAGGCAGGUCUCUGGGCAUUAACUGACGCUGAGGAGCGAAAGCAUGGGGAGCGAACAGG